rfam:Corynebacterium resistens DSM 45100, complete genome.
CGGGAUAUGGCGCAGUUUGGUAGCGCACUCGCUUUGGGAGCGAGGGGUCGUGGGUUCAAAUCCCGCUAUCCCGA